GGCUUCAUACAUGCAAGUCGAGGGGCAGCAUAAAUUACUUGUAAUUUGAUGGCGACCGGCGAACGGGUGCGUAACGCGUAUGCAACUUACCUUUUACUAGAGAAUAGCCAAGAGAAAUUUUGAUUAAUGCUCUAUACACUUAUUAAUUCACAUGAAUCUAUAAGAAAAGCUCCGGCGGUAAAAGAUGGGCAUGCGUCCUAUUAGCUUGUAGGUGAGGUAAUGGCUCACCUAAGCUCCGAUAGGUAGGGGUCCUGAGAGGGAGAUCCCCCACACUGGUACUGAGACACGGACCAGACUUCUACGGAAGGCAGCAGUAAGGAAUAUUGGACAAUGGAGGCAACUCUGAUCCAGCCAUGCCGCGUGAAGGAAGACGGCCUUAUGGGUUGUAAACUUCUUUUGUACAGGAAGAAACCUUUCCACGUGUGGAAAGCUGACGGUACUGUAAGAAUAAGGAUCGGCUAACUCCGUGCCAGCAGCCGCGGUAAUACGGAGGAUCCAAGCGUUAUCCGGAAUUAUUGGGUUUAAAGGGUCCGCAGGCUGUUUGUUAAGUCAGAGGUGAAAUCCUACCGCUCAACGGUAGAACUGCCUUUGAUACUGGCAAACUUGAGUUAUUGUGAAGUAGUUAGAAUGUGUAGUGUAGCGGUGAAAUGCAUAGAUAUUACACAGAAUACCGAUUGCGAAAGCAGAUUACUAACAAUAUACUGACGCUGAGGGACGAAAGCGUGGGUAGCGAACAGGAUUAGAUACCCUGGUAGUCCACGCCGUAAACGAUGGUCACUAGCUGUUUGAUGUACAUUGGUACAUUGAGUGGCUAAGCGAAAGUGAUAAGUGACCCACCUGGGGAGUACGCUC
rnacentral:rRNA from 1 species